GUUUGGUGACUUGAUCCCUGUUUGUGCACAGGGACCCUGUGGAGAGCCAGGAGAGCCAGGGGAGAAAGGCCGCCAGGGGUACACGGGUGAAGCCGGGCUCCAGGGCUCUCCAGGACGCUCCGGUCACCCUGGCUUGGAUGGCAAACCUGGCUUGGAUGGGAAACCAGGGCCGUGGGGGAUGCCAGGAGAGCAGGGGCUGCAGGGCUUCCAGGGUGACCAGGGGCUGACUGGGGAGAAGGGAGAAGAGGU
rnacentral:lncRNA from 14 species